CCCCUUCCAUCCCAGUGUGGGACCACUGCAGGCAUGAGGUCCCCCUGCUCCUGAGUGGGAGGCAGAGCUGAUGGAGUGCCUUGGAGGGCACCAGUCACCCAGGUGCCCUCCCAGGUACUUGGGCUUGAAGGAGAAUCUUAAACAGUGUCAGAGGAGCUCUUCUGUCCUGCCUUUCUUUGCAGCUAACCCGGUUGGUGAAAGUGAUCUGGCUUCCCAACCCACUUUCAAGAUUGAGCCUCUGGGAGAUGCUGAGGUGAUGGACCAAAAGGCAGGGCUGAAGGAGGUGUUUCCCCGAGGAAGCAGUGGCUCAUUGGCAGCCCCUGCAGCAGGGAGGAAGGCGAUGGCAGACACGGGCACAGGCACAGCAGAUGCAGCCGACCCCACAACAGGUGUUCAUGAUGCCCAGAAAGGCCUCGGAAGGGUCUUCUAUAUGGGAACAGGCUGCUGGGCAGGGUUAAUGGCUGGCCUGCUUUUUUUGGACCUUAUUCUCAUGUUGUGCUGUGUCAAAAUCUGGUGUAACUGGAAGAAGAAAUGGAGCACCUCUGGAACUUCCCUAGUCCAGCCAAAUACCUCAGUCAUGGAGAACUUGGCCUGUCAUCGUGCAUCUCCGUGCCAGUGUCCGUUGUCCCUUCCACAGGUGUAUUACCAGCUUGUAGCUGGCAGUAUGCUACAACCACUGCCUAGAACAGA